ACCUAGCUGGCUCAGUUGGUAGAGCAUGUGACUCUGGAUCUCAGGGUCAUGAGUUCAAACCCCAGUUGGGUA
rnacentral:tRNA from 1 species